rnacentral:rRNA from 1 species
GAUGAACGCUGGCGGCGUGCUUAACACAUGCAAGUCGAACGGAAAGACCACAACUUGCUGCGGUUCUCGAGUGCGGAACGCGUGAGUAUCACGUGGGUAUCCUGCCCUGUUCUUCCGGGUAAGAUUGGGUAACUGGGUCUAAUAUAGGAUAGGAUACACCUGACGGCGUGUGGCAGGAGAGCUUUUGCGGUUUGGGGUGAGCUUGUGCCGGAUCCGCUUGUUGGUGGGGUAAUGGCCUAGCAAGGCGUCGACGGGUAGCCGGCGUGAGUGGGAGUUCAGCGACCCUGGAACUGAGACACGGUCCAGACUCCUACGGGAGGGAGCAGUCGGGAAUGGUAGGCAGCGGGGGGAAGUCUGACACAGCGAGGCCGCGUGGGUGACGAAGGCGUUCGGUUGGUAAAGCCGUCUUUUUGGGUAAGAACACCUGUCGUCAGAAACGAAGCGGUAGUGACGGUACCUAAAUAAGAAGCACCGGCUAACUACGUG